rnacentral:rRNA from 1 species
AUUGAACGCUGGCGGCAUGCCUUACACAUGCAAGUCGAACGGUAGAGUAGCAAUACUUGAGAGUGGCGAACGGGUGAGUAAUAUAUCGGAACGUGCCCAGUCGUGGGGGAUAACGUAGAGAAAUUUACGCUAAUACCGCAUACGAUCUAAGGAUGAAAGCGGGGGAUUCGCAAGAACCUCGCGCGAUUGGAGCGGCUGAUAUCAGAUUAGGUUGUUGGUGAGGUAAAAGCUCACCAAGCCGACGAUCUGUAGCUGGUUUGAGAGAACGACCAGCCACACUGGGACUGAGACACGGCCCAGACUCCUACGGGAGGCAGCAGUGGGGAAUUUUGGACAAUGGGCGAAAGCCUGAUCCAGCAAUGCCGCGUGCAGGAAGAAGGCCUUCGGGUUGUAAACUGCUUUUGUACGGAACGAAAAGGCUCUUUCUAAUAAAGAGGGUCCAUGACGGUACCGUAAGAAUAAGCACCGGCUAACUACGUGCCAGCAGCCGCGGUAAUACGUAGGGUGCGAGCGUUAAUCGGAAUUACUGGGCGUAAAGCGUGCGCAGGCGGUUCUAUAAGACAGAUGUGAAAUCCCCGGGCUCAACCUGGGAAUGGCAUUUGUGACUGUAGAGCUAGAGUACGGUAGAGGGGGAUGGAAUUCCGCGUGUAGCAGUGAAAUGCGUAGAUAUGCGGAGGAACACCGAUGGCGAAGGCAAUCCCCUGGACCUGUACUGACGCUCAUGCACGGAAGCGUGGGGAGCAAACA